UUAUGAGGUGCUGACCAAGUGUUGUUACUUUGUAGCCGAUCCGUCAUCCAAGAUGGCCGCCAGCGGGGGACUUAGUUUAACAUAGGAACCUGUGGGAAAUGCAUUAUAAUGAUUUGCUUUUGAGAACCAUUGAAUGGAAUGAAAUCAAACAUUGCAUGAAUGUUUCUUAUGAGGUGCUGACCAAGUGUUAUUACUUUGUAGCCGAUCCAUCAUCCAAGAUGGCUGCCAGCGGGGGACUUAGUUUGACAUAGGACCCUGUGGGAAAUGCAUACAAAUGAUUUAUUUUAGAGACCCACUGAAUGAAAUGAAACCAAACAUGGCAUGAAUGUUUCUUAUGAGCUGCUGACCUAUUGUUGUUACUUUGUAGUCGAUCCAUCAUCCAAGAUGGCCGCCAGCGGGGGACUUAGUUUAACAUAGGACCCUAUGGGAAAUGCAUACAAAUUACUUCUCCUAGAGAACCACUGAAUGGAAUGAAACCAAACAUAGCAUGAAUGUUCCUUAUGAGGUGCUGACCAAGUCUUGUUACUUUGUAGCCGAACCGUCAUCCGAGAUGGCAGCCAGCGGGGGACUUAGUUUAACAUAGGACCCUAUGGGAAAUGCAAACAAAUGACUUCUUUUAGAGAACUACUGAAUGGAAUGAAAUUAAACAUAGCAUGAAUGUUCCUUAUGAGGUGCUCACCAAGUGUUGUUACUUUGUACCAGAUCCAUCAUCCAAGAUGGACGCCAGGGAGGAACUUAGUUUAACAUAGGACCCUAUGGGAAAUUCAUACAAAUGACUUCUUUUAGAGAACCACUGAAUGGAAUGAAACCAAACAUAGCAUGAAUGUUCCUUAUGAGAUCCUGACCAUAUGUUGUUACUUUUGUAGCAGAUCUAUCAUGCAAGAUGGCUGCCAAGGGGGACUUAGUUUAACAUAGGACCCUAUUGAAAAUACAUACAAUUUCUUCUUUUAGAGAACCACUGAAUUGAAUGAAACCAAACAUAUUUGUUCCUGUCCUUUUGAGGUGCUGGCCAAGUGUUGUUACUUUGUAGCCAGAUUUUAUCUUUUUUUUAUAUAUAAUUUCAAAAACCAAAGAAGUCAGGUGAGCGAUACAGGCUCUUGAGAGCCUCUAGGUUUCUGUUUUUUUAGGUAGUUAAAUGGUUCAGUAACCAGCACCAAUACCCCAAUCACGUUAUAGGGCAUAGUCAGCCUCUGAUGUUUCCUCUGAUCUUAUGGAUGUUGUAUUCCCAGCUUUAAAAGCAUAUAUGUAUCGCAACUUGUUUCUCUGGAUUUGUAGUCGUGCAGGAUGAAACGUGCACCUCUUUUCUGUAUGCUUUUUAUUCAAGUCACAAUUUGUAAAAGUUCAUAUACAUGUACAUUUUUUUAUAUCACUUUAUAUAUAAGUGUUACCAUAUAAUUAUGUUCAUAUAUGAUUGUUAUCGUAUUUUAUGUUUAUAUAUGAUUGCUACCGUAUUUUAUGUUUAAAUAUAUGAUUGCUACCGUAUUUUAUGUUUAAAUAGAUGAUUGCUACCGUAUUUUAUGUUUAAAUAGACGAUUGCUACCGUAUUUUAUAUUUAAAUAGAUGAUUGCUACUGUAUUUUCAUAUUUAUAUAUGAUUUCUGCUAUGUGAUAGUUACCAUAUAAUAAUAUUUAUGGAUGAGUUUUACAAUAGAAUUGUGUUUAUAUAAGAUUUUUGCCAUACUAUGUACAUAUUAUGAUUUUUGAUAUUUCGCAUUUAUGUUGGUAAUCAACAUGCUUGUACAUUCAAUUAACAGUAUAGUAAAAACAUCUAUAAAUAAUGUUGGUAACUUUACAUUAACAUGAUUAACCUGUACCACUUGUAGAGCAGGAUCUGUUUGUCUUUCCAGAGCACCUCAUAUAAAAAAGAAGAUGUGGUAUGAUUGCCAACGAGACAACUAUCCAUAACAGACCAAAAUGAAACAGACAUUAACAGCUAUAGGUCACCGUACGGCUUCAAAAAUGAGCAAAGCCCAUACUGCAUGGUCAGUUCAGCUUUGUUCCUCAAUUGGCGUCCGUUAUGUCGUCGUCUGUGAAAAAAUGUACUUAUUUUACAUCAUCCACUAGUGAAGUAAGAAAGCUUGUCUUUCCAGGGUACCAUAGUUCAGCUAUUCUCAUCAAUAAAAGUUCGUAAUUUGGGGCACUUUUCUUAUAUGAAUAGUAGCCUUAUUGUCUUAUCAUGACUACAGACAUUACAAUAGGAUAAAGUCCUCAGACCACAACUAAUUCCCUUUGUUCCUGGUCUUGGAAAAUAGUUCUCAAUUAUCA
rnacentral:lncRNA from 1 species